UACGUAGGGUGCAAGCGUUGUCCGGAAUUAUUGGGCGUAAAGAGCUCGUAGGCGGUUUGUUGCGUCGGCUGUGAAAACCCGGGGCUCAACUCCGGGCCUGCAGCCGAUACGGGCAGACUAGAGUUCGGCAGGGGAGACUGGAAUUCCUGGUGUAGCGGUGAAAUGCGCAGAUAUCAGGAGGAACACCGGUGGCGAAGGCGGGUCUCUGGACCGAUACUGACGCUGAGGCACGAAAGCGUGGGGAGCAAACAGG
rnacentral:rRNA from 1 species